ensembl:snRNA U7 U7 small nuclear RNA
UAGUGUUACAGCUCUUUUACAAUUUGUCUAGCAGGCCUUAUGGUUUUCGCUAAGAAGUCCCCA